rnacentral:rRNA from 1 species
AUGGCGCCUUCCGCGACCUGCCCUCUCCACUCCAUGGCAUCCGUCUCCCGCGCUCUCCGCCCGCGCCCGCGUCUCGCCGCUCCUCGUCUCGGGUGCGGACUGAGAGUUGGAUGCUCUGUGCCAGCAUAUGGAGGUGCUGCCACGGAGAAGGCCGGGUGGGGAUUGGCCAUUGCGCCCGCACCAGCGACCACUCUUGUUCCGGUUGUCAGGAGCCGUCAAAUUUUCUGCAAGGCAGAAGCUAAUAUUUCUAGUAACCUGCCAGCGAGCGAGCCUACUGGAGCAAGCCAGUACGAGAAAAUAGUUGAGCUACUCACAACUCUUUUCCCUGUCUGGGUCAUAUUAGGUACAGUUAUUGGCAUCUACAAGCCAUCAAUGGUCACCUGGUUGGAGACUGAUCUUUUUACCGUGGGCCUAGGAUUCCUAAUGUUGUCAAUGGGACUAACAUUAACAUUUGAAGAUUUCAGGAGAUGUUUAAGGAAUCCAUGGACAGUUGGUGUGGGAUUUCUUGCGCAGUAUUUGAUCAAACCAAUGCUAGGAUAUGCUAUCGCAUUGACAUUGAAGCUAUCUGCUCCUCUUGCAACUGGUCUUAUUUUGGUCUCAUGUUGUCCUGGUGGUCAAGCAUCAAAUGUUGCAACUUACAUAUCCAAAGGAAAUGUGGCACUUUCAGUUCUUAUGACCACUUGCUCGACUAUUGGUGCUAUAGCGAUGACACCACUCCUUACUAAACUCCUUGCUGGUCAAUUAGUCCCUGUUGAUGCUGCAGGCUUGGCCAUCAGUACUUUUCAGGUUGUUUUAGUACCGACUAUCGUUGGAGUGUUGGCACAUGAGUAUUUUCCCAAGUUUACCGAGCGGAUUAUCUCCAUAACACCACUGAUAGGGGUCAUCCUCACCACCUUGCUCUGUGCUAGCCCUAUUGGGCAAGUCGCAGAAGUGUUGAAAACUCAAGGUGCUCAACUUAUUCUCCCUGUUGCUCUGCUGCAUGCUGUUGCAUUCGCUCUUGGCUAUUGGAUCUCGAAAUGGUCUUCUUUCGGGGAAUCAACUUCUAGAACCAUCUCAAUUGAGUGUGGGAUGCAGAGUUCUGCGCUUGGAUUUUUACUUGCCCAAAAGCACUUCACGAAUCCUCUUGUUGCUGUUCCCUCUGCUGUCAGUGUUGUGUGCAUGGCGCUCGGAGGCAGUGCUCUCGCAGUUUUCUGGAGAAACAGAGGCCUUCCAGCAGAUGACAAGGACGAUUUCAAGGAAUGA